UGUAAACAGUGCGCUCUUCUGACUAGAGGCGAUCGGUAAAGAAAAACGGAUGAUGCCGUAAUUGUUUUGCUUGUUUUAAAUGAGCUAGCACAGACGAACUGAGACGUGUCAACAUAAUGUGAAUAUGAUAAUGAAUCAGCGAUGUUCUGUAUGGAAGGAAGACUGUCAUAGAAUCCAACAGUUCCGAAGGGGCCUUUAAACUAACUGCUUAACAUCAAGAUCGAUGUAAGAUUCAAGUGCCUGAUCCAGUGCAAGUUGUAGCCAGUUUUUCCUUGUAAUUGUGGCAGAAAAACCACUAGCUCUCAGCUGGGUAAUAGACAGUUUCUGGCAUUGAAAGGAUAUCAAACGGAUGUUUUAUGGAAUAAUCUCAAGUACAUAUGACGAUCAUAUGCAUAGAAAUGUGGAGCUAGUCUCUUUCAUGCAGCAAUUUGUAAUUCCCAAUUUAAACUCCGAAAAGACAAGAGCAAAGAAAUGUUCAUCAAUGAGAAACAGUCUCCGUGAAUAAAAUUAUUCCAAAACUUAAA